rnacentral:RNase_P_RNA from 1 species
UGAGAAGGACAGGCGGCCGCUGGAGGGCAGAUGCCCUCUGGAGGAAAGUCCGGGCUCCGCAGGGCAGGGUGCUGGGUAAUACCCAGUGGGGGCGACCCCAGGAAAGUGCCACAGAAAAGAGACCGCCGGGGGAAACCCCGGUAAGGGUGAAACGGUGAGGUAAGAGCUCACCGCGUCCCCGGGUGACCGGGGACGGCACGGCAAACCCCACCCGGAGCAAGACCGAAUAGGAGAGCGCUCCCCCGGAAGGGGGAUAAGGGUGGCCCGCCCGAUGCUCUCGGGUCAGGUCGCUUGAGGCCGGGGGAAACCCUGGUCCCAGAGAAAUGGCCGCCACGCGGGGGACUCCCCGCGGACAGAACCCGGCUUAUGUCCUUCUCAGGAC